rnacentral:rRNA from 1 species
AACGAACGCUGGCGGCAGGCCUAAUACAUGCAAGUCGAACGCCGUAGCAAUACGGAGUGGCAGACGGGUGAGUAACACGUGGGAACGUGCCCAAAGGUACGGAACAACUCCGGGAAACUGGAGCUAAUACCGUAUGUGCCCGAAAGGGGAAAGAUUUAUCGCCUUUGGAUCGGCCCGCGUCUGAUUAGCUUGUUGGUGAGGUAAUGGCUCACCAAGGCGACGAUCAGUAGCUGGUCUGAGAGGAUGAUCAGCCACACUGGGACUGAGACACGGCGCAGACUCCUACGGGAGGCAGCAGUAGGGAAUAUUGGACAAUGGGCGAAAGCCUGAUCCAGCCAUGCCGCGUGAGUGAUGAAGGCCUUAGGGUUGUAAAGCUCUUUCGUCCGGGACGAUAAUGACGGUACCGGAAGAAGAAGCCCCGGCUAACUUCGUGCCAGCCGCCGCGGUAAGAC